rnacentral:rRNA from 1 species
CACGUAGGGGGCGAGCGUUGUCCGGAAUCAUUGGGCGUAAAGAGCUCGUAGGCGGCUCGGUAAGUCGGGUGUGAAACCCCCAGGCUCAACCUGGGGACGCCACCCGAUACUGCUGUGGCUAGAGUCCAGUAGGGGAGUGUGGAAUUCCCGGUGUAGCGGUGAAAUGCGCAGAUAUCGGGAGGAACACCAGCGGCGAAGGCGGCACUCUGGGCUGGAACUGACGCUGAGGAGCGAAAGCAUGGGUAGCAAACAGG